rnacentral:rRNA from 1 species
AUUGAACGCUGGCGGAAUGCUUUACACAUGCAAGUCGAACGGCAGCACGGACUUCGGUCUGGUGGCGAGUGGCGAACGGGUGAGUAAUGUAUCGGAACGUGCCCAGUCGUGGGGGAUAACGUAGUGAAACUUACGCUAAUACCGCAUACGAUCUAUGGAUGAAAGCGGGGGAUCGCAAGACCUCGUGCGAUUGGAUCGGCCGAUAUGCGAUUAGGUAGUGGGUGGGGUAAAGGCCCACCAAGCCAACGAUCUGUAGCUGGUCUGAGAGGACGACCAGCAACACUGGAACUGAGACACGGUCCAGACUCCUACGGGAGGCAGCAGUGGGGAAUUUUGGACAAUGGGCGAAAGCCUGAUCCAGCCAUUCCGCGUGCAGGAUGAAGGCCCUCGGGUUGUAAACUGCUUUUGUACAGAACGAAAAGGUUUCUACUAAUACUAGGAGCUCAUGACGGUACUGUAAGAAUAAGCACCGGCUAACUACGUGCCAGCCGCCGCAGUAA